GUGGAUGACACAACAAAUGAGCCAACAGCAAGAUCACAUGCGCAUGCUUGCUAUGCAGCCGGGUGGCGUGACUCUUCCUCCUCUUGCUCCUCCUCCUUUCACUUUCCCGUGGGCACCACCUUCGUCUGGCUCCAACAAUAUGCCGCUUGGUGGGUUGGGCAAUCAGGAGGGAACCCCACCGGUGCCUCCUAUGGCGGGUUCACAUGUCUUGAGCAAUCAGAAUGUGGCUAGGAAGUUGUGACUCCAGGAUAUGCAUGAAGGAUGCUUAUCUUCGCCGUUGUGGUCUACAUGUGGAGCUUCCGUUGAUGGUCUCUAUGUUUCUAUCGACUUGUAUUAUGUUGCUUCCGGUUUUGUGUUAUGAACUACAUGUUUCCAUGGGCUUGUAUUAUAUUGCUUCCGAACUUGUGUUAGAAACUAUAUGUUUCGACUCUAUGUUUCUAUGGACUUGUAUUAUGUUGCUUCCGUACUUGUGUUAUAAACUAUAUGUUGUGAAGGAUUUUGUGUUAUGGACUAUGGAUUAUAUGUAUG